UACGAAGGGGGCGAGCGUUGUUCGGAAUCACUGGGCGUAAAGGGUGUGUAGGUGGCGCGCUAAGUCGGGUGUGAAAUUUCGGAGCUUAACUCCGAAACUGCAUUCGAUACUGGCGUGCUUGAGGACUGGAGAGGAGACUGGAAUUCAUGGUGUAGCAGUGAAAUGCGUAGAGAUCAUGAGGAAGACCAGUGGCGAAGGCGGGUCUCUGGGCAUUACCUGACGCUGAGGAGCGAAGGCCAGGGGAGCAAACGGG
rnacentral:rRNA from 1 species